AGCGAACGCUGGCGGCAGGCCUAACACAUGCAAGUCGAACGAACUCUUCGGAGUUAGUGGCGGACGGGUGAGUAACACGUGGGAACGUGCCUUUAGGUUCGGAAUAACUCAGGGAAACUUGUGCUAAUACCGAAUGUGCCCUUCGGGGGAAAGAUUUAUCGCCUUUAGAGCGGCCCGCGUCUGAUUAGCUAGUUGGUGAGGUAAAGGCUCACCAAGGCGACGAUCAGUAGCUGGUCUGAGAGGAUGAUCAGCCACAUUGGGACUAAGACACGGCCCAAACUCCUACGGGAGGCAGCAGUGGGGAAUCUUGCGCAAUGGGCGAAAGCCUGACGCAGCCAUGCCGCGUGAAUGAUGAAGGUCUUAGGAUUGUAAAAUUCUUUCACCGGGGACGAUAAUGACGGUACCCGGAGAAGAAGCCCCGGCUAACUUCGUG
rnacentral:rRNA from 1 species